UAAAGGGACUAGUCCUGCAGGUUUAAACGAAUUCGCCCUUAGAGUUUGAUCCUGGCUCAGAACGAACGCUGGCGGCAUGCCUAACACAUGCAAGUCGAACGCCCUCUUCGGAGGGAGUGGCGCACGGGUGCGUAACGCGUGGGAACCUGCCCUUAGGUUCGGAAUAACUCAGAGAAAUUUGAGCUAAUACCGGAUAAUGUCUUCGGACCAAAGAUUUAUCGCCGAAAGAUCGGCCCGCGUCUGAUUAGCUUGUUGGUGAGGUAAUGGCUCACCAAGGCGACGAUCAGUAGCUGGUCUGAGAGGAUGAUCAGCCACAUUGGGACUGAGACACGGCCCAAACUCCUACGGGAGGCAGCAGUGGGGAAUAUUGGACAAUGGGCGCAAGCCUGAUCCAGCCAUGCCGCGUGAGUGAUGAAGGCCCUAGGGU
rnacentral:rRNA from 1 species